rfam:Cyanothece sp. PCC 7425, complete genome.
GGGGAAUUAGCUCAGUUGGUAGAGCGCGGCGAUCGCACCGCCGAGGCCAGGGGUUCGAGUCCCCUAUUCUCCA